rnacentral:tRNA from 1 species
ACGGGCAUAGUUUAAAGGUAGAACGAAGGUCUCCAAAACCUUUGGUCUGGGUUCGAGUUCUGGUGCCCGUG